GUAACCCUGCGGUGCCGCUGCA
rnacentral:siRNA from 1 species